rnacentral:rRNA from 1 species
UACGAAGGGUGCAAGCGUUACUCGGAAUUACUGGGCGUAAAGGGUGCGUGGGUGGUUCUUUAAGUCUGCUGUGAAAUCCCCGGGCUCAACCUGGGAAUGGCAGUGGAUACUGGAGAGCUAGAGUGCGGUAGAGGGUAGUGGAAUUCCCGGUGUAGCAGUGAAAUGCGUAGAGAUCGGGAGGAACACCAGUGGCGAAGGCGGCUACCUGGACCAGCACUGACACUGAAGCACGAAAGCGUGGGGAGCAAACAGG